AUACUUACCAGGCAGGGGCGAUGUCACGGUCAGGAACGUGGUUUUUGCAGUGUGAGGCUCAUCCUUUGCACACUGGAGGUGCUGUCCCUGAGAUUUCCCCAGAUGUGGGAAACUUAACUGCAUAUUUUGUGGUAGUGGGGGAAUAUGUUCACACUCUUA
ensembl:snRNA U1 U1 spliceosomal RNA